GAUGAACGCUGGCGGCGUGCCUAAUACAUGCAAGUCGAGCGAACAGACGAGGAGCUUGCUCCUCUGAUGUUAGCGGCGGACGGGUGAGUAACACGUGGAUAACCUACCUAUAAGACUGGGAUAACUUCGGGAAACCGGAGCUAAUACCGGAUAACAUGUCGAACCGCAUGGUUCAACAGUGAAAGACGGUUUUGCUGUCACUUAUAGAUGGAUCCGCACCGCAUUAGCUAGUUGGUAAGGUAACGGCUUACCAAGGCAACGAUGCGUAGCCGACCUGAGAGGGUGAUCGGCCACACUGGAACUGAGACACGGUCCAGACUCCUACGGGAGGCAGCAGUAGGGAAUCUUACGCAAAGGGCGAAAGCCUGACGGAGCAACGCCGCGUGAGUGAAGAAGGUCUUCGGAUCGUAAAACUCUGUUAUUAGGGAAGAACAAAUGUGUAAGUAACUAUGAACGUCUUGACGGUACCUAAUCAGAAAGCCACGGCUAACUACGUG
rnacentral:rRNA from 1 species